UGGGGAAUUUUCCGCAAUGGGCGAAAGCCUGACGGAGCAAUGCCGCGUGGAGGUGGAGGGCCUACGGGUCGUCAACUUCUUUUCUCGGAGAAGAAACAAUGACGGUAUCUGAGGAAUAAGCAUCGGCUAACUCUGUGCCAC
rnacentral:rRNA from 1 species